GAUAGAGAGAGGUAGAGAGGUGGAUGGAGAGAGGGAGAGAGGUAGAGAGGUGGAUGGAGAGAGGUAGAGAGGUAGAGAGGUGGAUGGAGAGAGGUAGAGAGGUGGAUGGAGAGAGGUAGAGAGGUGGAUGGAGAGAGGUAGAGAGGUGGAUGGAGAGAGGUAGAGAGGUGGAUGGAGAGAGGUAGAGAGGUAUAGAGGUGGAUAGAGAGAGGUAGAGAGGUAGAUGGAGAGAGGUAGAGAGGUGGAUGGAGAGAGGUAGAGAGGUAUAGAGGUGGAUAGAGAGAGGUAGAGAGGUGGAUGGAGAGAGGUAGAGAGGUAUAGAGGUGGAUAGAGAGAGGUAUAGAGGUGGAUAGAGAGAGGUAUAGAGGUGGAUAGAGAGAGGUAGAGAGGUAGAUGGAGAGAGGUAGAGAGGUGGAUGGAGAGAGGUAGAGAGGUAUAGAGGUGGAUAGAGAGAGGUAGAGAGGUAGAUGGAGAGAGGUAGAGAGGUGGAUAGAGAGAGGUAUAGAGGUGGAUAGAGAGAGGUAUAGAGGUGGAUGGAGAGAGGUAGAGAGGUGGAUGGAGAGAGGUAGAGAGGUAUAGAGGUAUAGAGGUGGAUAGAGAGAGGUAUAGAGGUGGAUAGAGAGAGGUAGAUGGAGAGAGGUAGAGAGGUAUAGAGGUGGAUGGAGAGAGGUAUAGAGGUGGAUAGAGAGAGGUAUAGAGGUGGAUAGAGAGAGGUAUAGAGGUGGAUGGAGAGAGGUAUAGAGGUGGAUGGAGAGAGGUAGAGAGGUGGAUGGAGAGAGGUAGAGAGGUAUAGAGGUGGAUAGAGAGAGGUAGAGAGGUGGAUGGAGAGAGGUAGAGAGGUAUAGAGGUGGAUAGAGAGAGGUAUAGAGGUGGAUAGAGAGAGGUAGAGAGGUAGAUGGAGAGAGGUAGAGAGGUGGAUGGAGAGAGGUAGAGAGGUAUAGAGGUGGAUAGAGAGAGGUAGAGAGGUAGAUGGAGAGAGGUAGAGAGGUGGAUAGAGAGAGGUAUAGAGGUGGAUAGAGAGAGGUAUAGAGGUGGAUGGAGAGAGGUAUAGAGGUGGAUGGAGAGAGGUAGAGAGGUGGAUGGAGAGAGGUAGAGAGGUAUAGAGGUGGAUGGAGAGAGGUAUAGAGGUGGAUAGAGAGAGGUAUAGAGGUGGAUGGAGAGAGGUAGAGAGGUGGAUGGAGAGAGGUAGAGAGGUGGAUGGAGAGAGGUAGAGAGGUAUAGAGGUGGAUAGAGAGAGGUAGAGAGGUGGAUGGAGAGAGGUAGAGAGGUAUAGAGGUGGAUAGAGAGAGGUAGAGAGGUAGAUGGAGAGAGGUAGAGAGGUGGAUGGAGAGAGGUAGAGAGGUGGAUAGAGAGAGGUAGAGAGGUAUAUGGAGAGAGGUAGAGAGGUAGAGAGGUAUAGAGGUGGAUAGAGAGAGGUAGAGAGGUAGAUGGAGAGAGGUAGAGAGGUAGAUGGAGAGAGGUAGAGAGGUAGAUGGAGAGAGGUAGAGAGGUAGAUGGAGAGAGGUAGAGAGGUAGAGAGGUAGAUGGAGAGAGGUAGAGAGGUAGAUGGAGAGAGGUAGAGAGGUAGAGAGGUAGAUGGAGAGAGGUAGAGAGGUAGAUGGAGAGAGGUAGAGAGAGAGAGGUAGAGAGGUGGAUGGAGAGAGGUAGAGAGGUAGAUGGAGAGAGGUAGAGAGAGAGAGGUAGAGAGGUAGAUGGAGAGAGGUAGAGAGGUAGAUGGAGAGAGGUAGAGAGAGGUAGAGAGAGGUUAAUGAAAGGAAGAGGGGACCGCUGUAUAUCCCAUGCAUCCACAUGGCAUUCGGAAAGUAUUCAGAUCUCAUCACUUUUUACACAUUUUGUUAUUGUUACAGCCUUGUUCUAAAAUUGAUACAAAUGUAUGUUUUUCAUCAUCAAUCUACACAUAAUACCCCAUAAUGACAAAGCAAAAACUGUUUUUAGAAAUAUUUGCAAAUGUAUUAAAUAUAAAAUAAACACCUAAUUUACAUAAGAAUUCAGACCCUUUUCCUAGAGACUCGAAAUUGAACUCGGGUGCAUCCCGUUUACACUGAUCAUCAUUGAGAUGUUUCUACAACUUGACUGGAGUCCACCUGUAAAACAGCCCGCUUGGAGUUUGCCAAAAGGCACCUAAAGGACUCGCAGAUCAUGAGAAACAAGAUUCUCUGAUCUGAUGAAACCAAGAUUGAACUCUUUGGCCUGAAUACCAAGCAUCCCGUCUGCAGGAAGCCUGCCACCAUCCCUACGGUGAAGCAUGGUGGUGGCAGCAUCAUGCUGUGGGGAUGAUUUUCAGCGGCAGGGACUGGGAGACUAGUCAGGAUCGAGGGAAAUAUCAACAGAGCAAAGUACAGAGAAAUCAUUGAUGAAAACCUACUCCAGAGCACUCUGGACCUCAGAUUGGGGUGAA